GACGUAGGGCGCGAGCGUUGUCCGGAUUUAUUGGGCGUAAAGAGCUCGUAGGCGGCUUGUCGCGUCAACUGUGAAAACCCGUGGCUCAACCAUGUGGUCUGCAGUCGAUACGGGCAGGCUAGAUUUCGGUAGGGGAGACUGGAAUUCCUGGUGUAGCGGUGAAAUGCGCAGAUAUCAGGAGGAACACCGGUGGCGAAGGCGGGUCUCUGGGCCGAUAUUGACGCUGAGGAGCGAAAGCGUGGGGAGCGAACAGG
rnacentral:rRNA from 1 species